UCUGGUUGAUCCCGCCAGAGGCCACUGCUAUCGGAGUUCGAUUAAGCCAUGCGAGUCGAGAGGUGCAAGACCUCGGCAUACUGCUCAGUAACACGUGGACAAUCUGACCUAUGGAAGGGGAUAAUCCCGGGAAACUGGGGAUAAUACCCUAUAGACUAUGGAUGCUGGAAUGCACUGUAGUCGAAAGGUCCGCCGCCAUAGGAUGGGUCUGCGGCCGAUUAGGUAGUUGUUGGGGUAACGGCCCAACAAGCCUGUAAUCGGUACGGGUUGUGGGAGCAAGAGCCCGGAGAUGGAUUCUGAGACACGAAUCCAGGCCCUACGGGGCGCAGCAGGCGCGAAAACUUUACAAUGCGGGAAACCGUGAUAGGGGAACUCCGAGUGCCCGUAAAAUCGGGCUGUCCACCAGUUUAAACAACUGGUGAAGAAAGGGCCGGGCAAGACCGGUGCCAGCCGCCGCGGUAAUACCGGCGGCUCGAGUGGUGGCCACUAUUACUGGGCUU
rnacentral:rRNA from 1 species